CGCAGGAAAAUUGAGAAGAGCUAUCCUUAGUACGAGAGGACCGGGAUGGACAUACCUCUGGUGUAUCUGUUGUAACGCCAGUUGCAGUGCAGAGUAGCUAUGUAUGGAAUCGAUAACCGCUGAAAGCAUCUAAGCGGGAAGCGAACUUCAAGAUGAAUUUUCCCAUAUUUUUAUAAUAGUAAGAUCCCUGAAAGACUAUCAGGUUGAUAGGCUGGAGAUGGAAGUGUAGUGAUACAUUGAGUUGACCAGUACUAAUAGAUCGAGGAUUUAACCAU
rnacentral:ncRNA from 1 species